rnacentral:ncRNA from 2 species
UAAAUAAAUAUGGGGAGCUUGUAAACAGGCUGAGAGGAAGUUGUGAAUUUCGACCCGGGAACCUGAUUUGGAUAAUGCCAACGUAGGAAUAAGAUGACAAUUGCGG